UUGCAGAGAGUGGACCCUCUGGGCUACAUGAUACUAGAAAGAGGGCUCAGUCUCAGACUUGCCUGCAGAUUGGGUGCAAGGGCUGACUCCAGGCACCAUCAUUGGGUCACCUCUUGAUGUUGGUAUCCAUGUCAUACACAAUUUCUUCAGUUUUUGUCAGCCAAGAAGUAGAAGUAGAAUUGCAUUUUCCCUGACAUAUGAUGUGUAUUUCAUGAUCUCAAUAUUUUGGUUUCCCAUGGCCUUUGACAAUAAAGAUUCUAAAUUUGCUGCCAAGAUUUGGAAUCCCAGAAUCACAAAAUCGUAGGGGUUGGAACAGACCUCUAGAGAUCAUCAAGUCCAAAACUCUGCUAGGCUUCAUAUGUUUCUUUUAAACUUUUCCACAGCAGAAACAGAACCUACCACGGUGUAUUUUUUGAGUUUGACCUACGUAAUUCUUCUAAUGACUUCUCCAGUGCUUCAGCCAGGAGAUGUCUUUCCUUCCUGGAAAAUGUUCCCAUCGAUUUUGAAACAGAUGAAGUAA
rnacentral:lncRNA from 1 species